AAGAAACCUUCCUCUUAACUUUGAGAUUAGAAGGAAGAGAGAGCCGCGCUAUUCCUCGGGGUCCUGCAUUUAGUGGUAAGCCAAUUCCCCCAGACAUCUUCCUGCUGACAGUGAAGGAGUUGUUAUGGGGCUCUGAUUAGAAUAUAGAGCAAAUCACAGAGCCUCCUGCUAACAGGUGUGCAGACAAGCGCUAAGAUGAAAUGGGCCAAAUACGAGAGUCAGGAAACUUGUGUGCUGGUUUUACCUGUGACAUAAACCAGCAGUAUGAAUUUGGUCCAAACACGAAAGUGAAGCAGCAAGCAGCCCAUGACAAAUAUGUGCACUGCCAGCUAAUGAAUAUUGGAGAACAUGACACGUUGGAGAGCCCAGUGGGUCUUGAAAGUCUGAGUUCCAGCAAAUUCUCAUGUCUGCAUCGACUGCAGCAAGGUCAAAAGUUGGAAAGCAGGG
rnacentral:lncRNA from 1 species